CAACGUUUCACACCGCCUUAUUUGAGAACAACGCGUAGUUGUUUUAUUUUAAUUGCAUCAACACCGUCAAAUGUUACACCGCUGGCGAUAUCACAGCCGUAAAUCCAGAUCCUACAUUCUAUAUAAGCCUCCUCAACCCUCCAUAAUUGACCGAUUUCCAAAAUACCGAACCGUUCCCUCGUUUUUUUGUUCUACUUGUUUGUUUGAUGAAUUGAAUUUGAUUUGAUUUGAUUUCUUCAUUCUAAGGUUUCGCUCAUAUUUGCUUGCUUCGUGAUGGCUCGGUUCAUGCUAAGAGGAAAAUCGUUAGGGAUUUGCGUAUUGAUGUGCUUUCCCGGAUCGCAGUAGAUAUUGAGAGUUUCGGAGUUCUUUCGAUUCUUCUUAUAUGGAUCAAUUAUCAAGCUGUGUCCGAUACUCCCUACUAUUGAUCCCAAACAUGUGUGUGUUUUCUGUGGAACUAAUGGCAUGCAGACAUUCACAUACUUUGUGUUCAGCCUGGGAUAAGAUCAGUUGUGAUAUUACAUACAUGUAUUAGCUUUCUUUAUUUUGAUAUUUCAGUCUUGCUACCGUUCAAGUUUGUGUUUCUGCAUCAGGAACGUGAAUAUGAAGCAUACUAAAUAAGUACAUCUUGGGGGUUGAGGAAUUUCAGACAACCUGGUUUGCCACACUUUUUUUUGGGUUGAUUUUCCAUGUUAUAACUAUUUUCUUGUCAAUUGUGUCUUAUAUAAGUAUAAAAUAAGAAUUUUCUUCUGUGUUCAAUACUUUUCUUUUGAUGGCACGUCUUGCUACAGUUGGGGUUCUUGUGUGUCUUUAUCAGGAACGGGAAUAUGAAGCAUACAAAAUAUAGAGUAAAUCUUAGGGAGGUUAAGGAAUUUCAGACAACCUGGUUAGGCGCAAUUGCCUUGUUAUAAUUAUUUCCCAUAUUUUCUUGUCAAUUGUGUCUUAUAUAAAGUAUAAUAAGAAUAAGAGUUUUCUUUCCCAAAUAGAUGUCUUUCACAGAAUCUGCAAUAUGCUGCUGUUGUGUUUUCAUGUUUGUGUUCUCUUCUCUAAUUGAAUUCUUCACUAAUCAUUCUUUCAUGAGUUCUAUGUGGUGGGCGUCACAGGGGGAUAUGUUAAGUCUUCGUUGCUAAGAUUAUCAAUCACUUGUGUUUACUUUGGUUUUAUAGGGGAUUUUAAAGUUGUGGUGGCCAUUAUUAAGGACAUGCUGAGAGCGCCAUUGGAUUUAUAAGUUCAUUUUUUCCUUGAAAAUGCUGUUAUAGUUUCUCAAUUCUAUAGCAAUGUAAUGUGCUAAUGUUGAUUUUUGUGUUCAAUUGUUUUCGGAAUUACAAAUCUAAUCAUUAGGAGAUCUUCAGUAUUUAUGAUUUUAUAGUUCAUAUACAUCUCUCUCUUGGAAGAUCGAAUAUGCAUUUGGAUAUCUAGAAUGUUUGAACAUGCUUGAUACAAUGGAUAAGGAAGUUGGGUUUGAUCAAAUUUCUCCAAUGAGUUGUUCUUUACUAUUUUUACUUUGACUUCUCUUAGUAAGGCAUGCGAAUUUGAACUGUGUAACUUAUUUGUCUGUAAUUUUGCUAGGCAAAAUAAUGUUCUUCGUAGCGCAGAGAUGUUUCGAUUUGGUGAUCUCUUGUAACUUUUUGUUUCAGUAUUUCUGUAUCAAUUAUGAGAUCAUAUAUUGGUUUGUUAUUUUCCUCUUUGGUGUUGUUGGAGAGGUGACAUUUAGGUAUAUGAACACAAUUCCUUCUUGUUCAGUCUUUCACUUCUAUGAUAUUCAAGUUUUUAUAUUCUCUUUUUUCCCUUGGUUUACAUUGGUCUUUUGAUGUAGGGGUUUGACCGGGUUCUUGUUGGUUUUGAUCUUUAAGUUGGCGGUUCAUAUUUUAAUGGUCUUGUUUGGGUUUUAAUGGAUUGUCUUCCAAUUUCUUUUGAUAAUACGUGUAGGUUUUUUUAUUUUUUAUUUAUUUAUAUAAUGCUUCAUUUGAUAAUUCUUCAAAUAUCUUAAAAUUAAAAGAAUAUUGACAAUUAUCAGAAUUGCAGUGAGCUUACUUCUUAAUAUCUGGAGCUGUUGCAGUUAUUGAUUACAUGCAUAAGAACGAUAAUGGUAUAGAAAGGAGUCAUUCGUUAUUAUUUUUAUUUUCGGACAUUGAUCACAAGACAUACAAUUUGAAUUCUAAACCUGUUUUUCAGCAACUUGGUUUGUCAAAAAAUAAUAUCCAACGAAGCAUGGAGCCUGAGUUUUUAUUUGAUGAUUUCUUUUAAAAGCAUAUUGUUUUCAUAAAUUCUUUAUCCCUUUUGAAAGCAUAUUAUUAUUGAUUUUUAUUUCCUCUGGCCUUGCAGGAAAGGUGGUUUGUGAGCAUAUUAUUCUAGUUUCUUGAUUAUGAGGUUUAAGUUUGUUCUGGCUUUUAUCACCAUACAUAUGAAUUUAAAUAUGGCUGUGUAGAAUAACAUUCUGUGCAGUAUCAAGCCUCUCUUAAGUGUUCUUAUCAUCACAUUCUGUGCAGUAUGAAGCCUCUCUUAAGUGUUCUUAUCAUUGAUACUACUUUUCUCUUGCAAAUGUUUGUUCUACAUUUGGGUUUUUGUUUCAGACAUUGCAAAAGUUUACAUACUUUUAGAGACAUCCGGACAAAUUGACGGGCCUCUCAGUUAUGAUGCUAAUCUGCGACUUGGUUUGUAGAAUUCUUCCAUAUUCUUUCUUUAUUUCUUGGUUCUUUUUCUACAACCUAUCGGUCACAGUUUAAUUUUUUUUACAUUUAUCGUCUGUUGUUGCCGGAGUUAGUUUCUUUGCCAUCAAGUUUGUUGUAGAACAAAAGUUUUCUUAAUUCUCAAUCACACUCUCACCUUUUUAGUUGGUCUACAGUGGAAAAAUGGGAGAUAAGUGUGUUUGUUGCUUUUUAUAAUCUUCUAUUUUGUUGCUUUUAUUUAUGAUUUAUAAUAUUCCUAAAAAGAUACCUUCUUAAAUACUGUGGCCCAAAGACUUCUCUGUACAUGAUUUUGCUGGAUUCGAACGUAUUGUAUCAACUUUUGCAGGCUAGGUGUCGGACACUCCCUUCUAUUCAUGCACUUGAAUUUGGUCAUCACUACUAAGACUCUUACACUUUUGUUUGAUUUGAUACACGACAUUUAUUUUGUCUGUUCCUUUGAGUUGCGUCGGUGUUAGCCUAUGUGUGUUUUCUGUGGAAAUCGUGGCAUGCAGAGUUUCCCAUACAUACUUCCCAGUCAACCUAUAUUGUGUCUUUGUUUUGAGAUAAUUGUCCUCUGAUUGUGAUUGUGUGUGUUGGAGUUGUGUUUUGUAUUAUGAGAUUCUAGUCCAUCUCUUUUGUCCUGCUGAGAAUAAGGAGUUCUAGUCUUGACACUUUUUUUGCAGUGUUUAUGUGAUAUAUAAGACUAACAAUUAAAAUCUAGUACGGCUCUUUUGUUCUCCUAAUGUGUCCCUCAAUUCCUUUGUUAUAAAUUAUUUUCUUGUCUUAUUUGAUUUAUAGGAAUAUGAGUCUUCUUCGCCAAAUUGGUAUCCCACACAGUGGGGAAGUCCACCAAGAACAGAUAAGGACAUACAAAUUGAAUUUUGAAUGUGAUGUGUUGCAGCGUAAUAUUUGAACUAAUAACCUUCUUCAUAGCAUGGAGCUUAGCGUUUUGAUUUUUGGUUUGGUGCCCUCUAUUAAAUUCUUUUCAUUUUCAAUACUAGGUGAACACGUGAUUUAUUCUAGUCCUAUCUUCCUCUUGUUUGAUUUUCGUGGUUAAUUAUUUGGUUUCUUGAUUUUUAGGUUUGAUUUGGUUGUUGUUAGUUUUGACCUUGAAAGUUACUGAACUAUUUUGUCGGGGUUUUAAAUGUUUGUUCAUUUCUGUCAACUAUUAUUCUUGGCUGUUUUGUGUUUAAGUUGCUGUUUUGCAUUAUCACCUUACUAUGUAGUGUGUCAUGCAACAAUUGUGUUCUGCAACAAUUGUGUUUUGAAACAAGUGUUUUGUGUGGUAUCAAGCAAUUUGUAAUCAAUAAAUCAGGUUUCUUUCUUGGUAUACUCUUUUGGAUUGUGAAUUGUUUUCAAUUCAUUUCUUUGUAGAGUUUUAUUGUCCUGUUUUCUUUAUUUACUCCUUCAUGUCACUUUGGUGUUACAUGUGAGAGCUACAUAUUGAUGUGCGGUGAGAGAUGAAUUUUACGUUGGUAGUCUUGUUUUUCUCCUUUAUGUCACUUUGGUGUUACAUAUGAGAGAUAAGUAUUGCUGUGUGGUUAGAGAUGAAUUUUACAUCGUAGUUGUAAAGUCAACCUUGGUUUUUUUUAUCCUAUAAGUACUACUAUUUUCUUACAUUUAGGCUAUAAUCUUUCAUUGCAAAGAAAUUGGGCAAGCAUUGUGAUUAUGAUGAUAAUUAUACUCCUAAACAAAUAUCCUCUUCCUUGCGGUGGUUAAAGCUGUGUCAUUUCAUAUGGGUAGAUCUUGCAAAUUGGAUGGAAAUUUGUUUCACUGAAUUUCAAUCAUUUAUCAGUUCCUUGUGAUUUGCUACGGAACUUAUGGCAAGAAGACAUUCACAUACUUCGUGUUCAGCCUUGGAUAAGAUCAGUUACUGUAUUACCAACCUGUAUAUCAGUUAUUGGAUUCGUGAUACUUUUCUUUUUAUGGCAUGUCAUGCUAUAGUUGGAGUUUUUGUGUUUUUGCAUCAGGAACAUGAAUAUGAAGCAUACAAAAUUAUAGAGUUCAUCUUAGGGAGGUUGAGGAAUUUCGGACAACGCGGUUUGGCACGCUAUCUUAUUUCCCCUAUCUAGAAUGUUUGAAAAUACCUGAUACAAUGGAUAAGGAAGUUGAUAAAUCAAAUUUCUUCAA